AUGAUCUACGCCACCCACAUCCCCAAGCGGGAACAGAAGCGAGCACUACGGGACGACGUCUACGCAAUGGAGCCAGUCGUCCCCAAAUUCAACCCAUGGUCAGCUUGUCCGAUCACCUUUGAUCGUAGGGAUCAUCCUACUAGCAUCCGUCAUGGCGGCUCGGCCGCAUUGGUCUUAGACCCAAUCAUCGACAUAUUCCACCUCACGCGAGUCCUUAUGGACGGCGGCAGCAGCCUGAACCUGCUUUACCAGGACACAGUGCGCAAAAUGGGCAUCGAUCCUUCAAGGAUUAAGCCCACCAAAACCACCUUUAAAGGUGUAAUUCCAGGAGUAGAGGCC
rnacentral:rRNA from 1 species